UGGCCGGUAGCGCAGAGGUCGACGCGCCGAACGUCUCAUUCGGAGGACGCCGGUUCGAAUCCGGCCCGGUCAC
rnacentral:tRNA from 1 species